AGUACGUGUAACCGUUCAGGGGUAAACCUGAGAAACCCAAAAGAUCGAAUGGGGAGAUUCAGCGUUCGUACGACGUCUGGCUUUCGUGCGGCUCGCGAUGCUCGUGUGCUUCGGUGCACGGGCACGCAGUCGCUGCGGCAUGACCGGCGUCGUCGGCGUGCACUUCUCCCCUAGUAGGACGUCGCGACCCGUUGGGCGUCGGCCCAAGGCUCGUACGGUAGACUGUCGCGCUCCUGGCGCGUCAGACCCUCGAUCGCCCGGCCGACUGCUCGGCGGUAUUGAAUGCUUUAACAAUGGUAUAGGGCCGCAUCGAAUGCGUUCGGCUCGUCGGCAGGCUCGUCUCGCUCGGAUUUACGGACCUAGCGCCGUUGCUGGGCGCUUGACGUGGCUGUUCUCGCCGACGAUGAUCUCGAACUGGCUCUGGGGAGAGAGCUCGCUCUUUCCUCUUUUAAAAUACCUGUCUGCGACGCUUUUGCUUUGGGUACUUUCAGGACCCGUCUUGAAACACGGACCAAGGAGUCUAACAUGUGCGCGAGUCAUUGGGACUUGUUUUUAAGCCUAAAGGCGCAAUGAAAGUGAAGAUCCGGCAGGCUUCGGCCUCAGCCGAUCGAGGGAUGACGGCUCGCGUCACGAUGCGAGCCCGCACUCCCGGGGCGUCUCUAGCUCAUUGCGAGCGGAGGCGCACCAAGAGCGUACACGUUGGGACCCGAAAGAUGGUGAACUAUGCCUGGUCAGGACGAAGUCAGGGGAAACCCUGAUG
rnacentral:rRNA from 1 species